CGCCGGGCUGGGAGGAGGCGGGCAGGCUGGUGGGCCGGGCGGUCUACGGGCGGCCGGGAGCGCGCGGUGGACUCGGCGGCGGCUAGUAGUUAGUUAGUUGUUGUUAGUCAGUGUCAGUUGCUCGGCGGUGGCGGCCGCGGUCACCAGGAAGAGUACUGGACGGCCGGCGAAGGUAGUCACCGCGGCGGCGUGUGAGCCCCUCAGGUAUCUGCCUAAACUGGAAGUUAUGCUAUAGAGAUUUCUUUGUGGAUUUGUCUGAAAACCUAAGAAUCUGUGCUCCUUGAAGUCAGGGACUUUGUCGUAUACAUCUUUGAAUCUCCAAUGCAUAUCGUAGAGAUAGAAGAGAGAUGUGUCACAGAAGCCAGGGGAUUAGAGGGUUUCAAGAAGAGUGUCAGGAACUUCCCUGGUGGCUCAGUGGUUAAGAAUCUGCCUGCCAAUGCAGGGGACACAGGCUUGAGCCCUCCGGGAGGAUCCCACAUGCCGCAGAGCAACUAAGCCUGUGCGCCACAACUACUGAGCCUGCGUUCUAGAGCCUGCGAGCCACAGCUACUGAAGACCGUGCACCUAGAGCCCAUGCUCUGCAACAAGAGAAGCCACCACAAUGAGAAGGCUCGCACCACAACGAAGAGUAGCUCCCACUUGCCGCAACUAGAGAAAGCCCACGUGCAGCAACACAGCCAAAAAUAAAUAAAUAAAAAUUUAUUUAAAAAAAAAAAGAGUGGCAGAAGUCAGCAGUGUCAGAUACUGCAGAGAGAUCAAGUAAAGUAAGGUUCACAAAAUGACUAUUGGUUUAGUCUUUUAGUGGUUUUAGCAAGAGUAACAAGAGUGGUUUUUGUUUUUGUUUUUGUUUUUUUAGUGGUGGGGACGGAAACAAGAUUCUGGUAGGUUAAGCAGUGAAUGGGAAAUGAAGAAGAGACUGUCAGGGAUUAAGGACUACUGUUGUGAGAGGUUUAACUGUGAAGGGGAAGAAUGAGUUUAGGGUGCUACAUAGAGGAGAACAUAAAAUAUUUUUUAAUAUAGGAGAGACUUUUGAGCAUGUGUAUGUACAGAGCUGGUGGGAGAAGGGACCAGUUACGAGCAAGCUUGUGGAAGUGGAGAGAGGAAUGACACAGAGAAUAGGCUCCCCUGCAGAGGUGAAAGAUUGCAUCUGGAAUACAUAUUUGCCUGAAGUGGCCUGUUUCUUCUGAGGGAAGGAUAUGUCCAUGGAUGUAGCCAGAGAUAAAUUUAUGGGAAUGAAUUAGGAAAUAUAGGCAGUUCCCCUUUUCUCUGAAGUGGAAAACAAGGUCCUUGGCUUGGUGAUGUUGUGGUUGGCGAUGUUCUGGAGGGAGGCAACAGGGGUGAGAUAUAGAGUUUGAAGGGAGUGGUGAAGGUUUGGCAUAUCUGCUGUGAGCCAUGGAAGAGGUUGCUUGCCAGAAACAUCGAAGUCUGAGAGCCUCUUUCUCCCUUCCCUCCAUGUAAAUUGAAAAGGCAGGUAUGUGGUCAGAAAUACAGAUGGUACCAAAGGAUUUACAGUGAAAAGUAAAUCUUCCUUUCACCUUAGAUCCCCUGUCCUUAUUUUCAGAAGAAAGUUCCAUUAGCAGUUUAUUAGCUUUCAAAUUAUUUUUGCAAAUAUAAAUAUAAAUUUUAAAAUAUCUAUAUUGGAAUUUAUUUUAAUCCAUGAGAAUGUACUGUUCUACUUCUUCCUUUUUCAACUUCCUUUCAUAACUUGGAGAUCUUUCUGUAUAUUUAGAUCUACUUCAUUCAUGUUUACAGCUGCAGGAUAUUUUGUGUAUGAAUAUAGUAUAGAUGAUGUAACCAGCAUUUAGAUAAGUUCCAAUCUUUACUCUCAUAAAAGCCAUGUUGAAUGAAUAAAUUCUACCUUUAAAAAUAAAAAUUCAUUA